AACGAACGCUGGCGGCAUGCCUAACACAUGCAAGUCGAACGAGACCUUCGGGUCUAGUGGCGCACGGGUGCGUAACGCGUGGGAACCUGCCCUUAGGUUCGGAAUAACUCCCCGAAAGGGGUGCUAAUACCGGAUAAUGUCUUCGGACCAAAGAUUUAUCGCCUUUGGAUGGGCCCGCGUUGGAUUAGCUAGUUGGUAGGGUAAAAGCCUACCAAGGCGACGAUCCAUAGCUGGUCUGAGAGGAUGAUCAGCCACACUGGGACUGAGACACGGCCCAGACUCCUACGGGAGGCAGCAGUGGGGAAUAUUGGACAAUGGGCGAAAGCCUGAUCCAGCUAUGCCGCGUGAGUGAUGAAGGCCUUAGGGUUGUAAAGCUCUUUUACCCGGGAUGAUAAUGACAGUACCGGGAGAAUAAGCUCCGGCUAACUCCGUG
rnacentral:rRNA from 1 species